AUCCGAUCCUGGCUGGGAGACUAGGCCUGACAAUUCCGGGAAAAGAAGAGAAAAUGGAUGCUGGAGAAUACGUGAAAAACUAUCCUUUGUUUAACCAUUUUAAAAAUGGAGCUGGUCAGCCAUAUGGAGAAAUUGCCCACCUGUCUCCUAUAUGCUAGCUGAGCCAUGGUAUCGGCUUAUUGUAAAUCACAGUAAGAAGAACAGAAGUGAAAGGUUUUGAAUAAGUGAAGUUAAUUCUUAUCUCUGCUCCUGGACAAAAAGGGAAUCUGCAGCUUCAAGGGAAAUACCACUUCAAAUUCAGCUUACAGGGCACCAUGUGUGAGUGAUUAUAAUCACUGCAAAAUCCUGGCACGUCUUUCCAUCCAGUUUUUCUAUAGGAUUUAGAGAUCAUUUCAUUGUCUACUCUAAAAAUUUUUACAAAAAGGAUUUUUGUUGUGUUUCUUUACAUCGUGAACAAUAAAGUGAGGCA